ensembl:lncRNA
CAAAACUCUCAGAAGACAAUGGCUCAUUUGUAUGUGAUAACACCAACCGUGUUCCAGGUGAAAAAUUGAGGGAAAAGGGAGACCACUGAUUAUAGGAAGAACACAAACAAAGACAGUCCCAUCAGAACCCUGAGUUCUCCAUCAGGGCAGGAAAGCCUUCCAAAGGCGAGCCACCUGCUGGGUGAAUAAUCCAGCACUGAGCCAGCAGUUUCAACUCAUGGCGAUACUUGACCUGAUGGCCAUUUUCAACUCACAAUGAUUGACAACUGGUUAUACUCAGGAAAGAAAAGAAAGCAAAUCCCAAAGUUCGAAAGAUGAAGAAUGGAUGCAGAAGAACCAGAAGUACGGAAGGAAAUGAUAUGGAGCAAAAAAGGACAUUGUGUUAAAAAAAAACAUUUUUUUUUUCCAAACAAGAACAUUUCUACACACCCACAUACCACACAUUCAUACAUUUUUCUCAUUUUCACGUCAAAAUACUCAUUUAGGAUCAUUAGGUUCUGUUGAUGAAUUGAUUCUAUGAAAUACUUCUCUUUAUCUCUAGUGACACUCUCUGUUUUUAAGUCUACU